rnacentral:rRNA from 1 species
UACGUAGGUCCCGAGCGUUGUCCGGAUUUAUUGGGCGCAAAGCGAGCGCAGGUGGUUUAUUAAGUCUGGUGUAAAAGGCAGUGGCUCAACCAUUGUAUGCAUUGGAAACUGGUAGACUUGAGUACAGGAGAGGAGAGUGGAAUUCCAUGUGUAGCGGUGAAAUGCGUAGAUAUAUGGAGGAACACCGGUGGCGAAAGCGGCUCUCUGGCCUGUAACUGACACUGAGGCUCGAAAGCGUGGGGAGCAAACAGG